rnacentral:rRNA from 1 species
GAUCCUGGCUUAGGAUGAACGCUGGCGGCGUGCUUAACACAUGCAAGUCGAACGAAGCGCCUUACUUAGAUCCCUUCGGGGUGACGAGUUUGUGACUGAGUGGCGGACGGGUGAGUAACGCGUGGGUAACCUGCCUUAUACAGGGGGAUAACAGUUAGAAAUGACUGCUAAUACCGCAUAACCCGCUAGUAUCGCAUGAUACAGACGGAAAAGAUUUAUCGGUAUAAGAUGGACCCGCGUCUGAUUAGCUAGUUGGUGAGGUAACGGCUCACCAAGGCGACGAUCAGUAGCCGGCUUGAGAGAGUGAACGGCCACAUUGGGACUGAGACACGGCCCAAACUCCUACGGGAGGCAGCAGUGGGGAAUAUUGCACAAUGGGGGAAACCCUGAUGCCAGCGACGCCGCGUGAGUGAAGAAGUAUUUCGGUAUGUAAAGCUCUAUCAGCAGGGAAGAAAAUGACGGUACCUGACUAAGAAGCCCCGGCUAACUACGUGCCAGCAGCGGC